rnacentral:lncRNA from 1 species
UAGGAAAGGAGUUACUAGACAAACUCCUUGGAAUUGUAGAUUAUCUCUAGGAGCCAAUAUCCUCAUUUAAUUUUUCUAGAGAAAAUACGUUUUGGUGGUAAAACAUUCUAGUCCUAGCCACCUGCAUCCCUCAGGAAAAGCUACUAAGGGUUCUCUUCCUCCUCACAAGUCUCCUGAGUCUUGUACAUUCUUCCCUCCUGCCUUAACAAGCCCUCAGUUUUCCUCGUCCCAUUACACCCAAAUACAUAUUCCUGAGAGAGCUCAUUGCCACAAAAAAUGUUGAAGUGUAAUGGGGAUAGAUAUACUCAAAAUAUAUUAUAUACAUGUAUAAAAUUAUCAAAGAAUAAACUUAAAAAUUUAAAGUUUAAAUUAGCAUUAGUUUAAAUAGCAUAAGAAUACUAGAAGAAAAAAAGUCAGGCAUCGUGGCACACAUCUUUAAUCCUAGCAUUUGGGAGGCAGAGGGAAGAAGGCACAGAGACCAUAAGCUGUAGGACUGCCUCCCAUUCCUGGUUAACUUCCAAAAGGAUGACAGUCCUAGUAGGGAGGAUUCCACCAGCACUCCAUGAC